AAUGGGCGCAAGCCUGAUCCAGCCAUGCCGCGUGAGUGAUGAAGGCCCUAGGGUCGUAAAGCUCUUUCGCCUGUGAAGAUAAUGACGGUAGCAGGUAAAGAAACCCCGGCUAACUCCGUGCCAGCAGCCGCGGUAAUACGGAGGGGGUUAGCGUUGUUCGGAAUUACUGGGCGUAAAGCGCGCGUAGGCGGAUUAGUCAGUCAGAGGUGAAAUCCCAGGGCUCAACCCUGGAACUGCCUUUGAUACUGCUAGUUUUGAGUUCGAGAGAGGUAAGUGGAAUUCCGAGUGUAGAGGUGAAAUUCGUAGAUAUUCGGAGGAACACCAGUGGCGAAGGCGGCUUACUGGCUCGAUACUGACGCUGAGGUGCGAAAGUGUGGGGAGCAAACAGGAUU
rnacentral:rRNA from 1 species